rnacentral:lncRNA from 1 species
UCUCUGGGUGGUUGGAGUCUGAGAACUCCAGUUCCCAACUGGGUUCUCAUCUCCGGACUCUCUACCGAUAUAAGCCAUAAGAAAGAAAAGAAAUUCAAAGGCAAAAGCUAAAAAAAAAGAUAGGGAAGAGACGAAGGAAAAACCUCGAGGAGGUGACCGACGAUGACACCGACGACGACAGUGACGAUGGCGAUGGACAAUCGACGUCGGAGGAGAAAACUUGCCUA